rnacentral:rRNA from 1 species
GAUGAACGCUGGCGGCGUGCUUAACAUAUGCAAGUCGAACGGAAAGGCUCCUGCUUGCCGGGGUACUCGAGUGGCGAACGGGUGAGUAACACGUGGGUGAUCUGCCCUGCACUUCGGGAUAAGCCUGGGAAACUGGGUCUAAUACCGGAUAGGACCACAUUUUGGAUGGUGUGGUGGAAAGUUUUUCGGUGUGGGAUGAGCUCGCGGCCUAUCAGCUUGUUGGUGGGGUAAUGGCCUACCAAGGCGUCGACGGGUAGCCGGCCUGAGAGGGUGUGCGGCCACAUUGGGACUGAGAUACGGCCCAGACUCCUACGGGAGGCAGCAGUGGGGAAUAUUGCACAAUGGGCGCAAGCCUGAUGCAGCGACGCCGCGUGGGGGAUGACGGCCUUCGGGUUGUAAACUCCUUUCGCUAGGGACGAAGCGCAAGUGACGGUACCUGGAGAAGAAGCACCGGCUAACUACGUG